rnacentral:rRNA from 1 species
AACGAACGCUGGCGGCAUGCCUAACACAUACAAGUCGAACGAGACCUUCGGGUCUAGUGGCGCACGGGUGCGUAACGCGUGGGAACCUGCCCUUAGGUUCGGAAUAACUCCCCGAAAGGGGUGCUAAUACCGGAUAAUGUCUUCGGACCAAAGAUUUAUCGCCUUUGGAUGGGCCCGCGUUGGAUUAGCUAGUUGGUAGGGUAAAAGCCUACCAAGGCGACGAUCCAUAGCUGGUCUGAGAGGAUGAUCAGCCACACUGGGACUGAGACACGGCCCAGACUCCUACGGGAGGCAGCAGUGGGGAAUAUUGGACAAUGGGCGAAAGCCUGAUCCAGCAAUGCCGCGUGAGUGAUGAAGGCCUUAGGGUUGUAAAGCUCUUUUACCCGGGAUGAUAAUGACAGUACCGGGAGAAUAAGCUCCGGCUAACCCCGUG